AUAGCUUUAGGGCUAGCCUCAAGGUGAGAGAUACGGAGGUAGAGCACUGAAUGUCCUAGGGGGUAUUGCACCUACCGAAGACUAUCAAACUCCGAAUGCCGUCAUCUUAUACUUGGGAGUCAGACUGUGGGUGAUAAGAUUCAUAGUCGAAAGGGCAACAGCCCAGAUCGUCAGCUAAGGUCCCUAAAUGUAAGUUAAGUGGUAAAGGAUGUGGGAUUGCACAGACAACCAGGAUGUUGGCUUAGAAGCAGCCACUCAUUCAAAGAGUGCGUAAUAGCUCACUGGUCGAGUGAUCCUGCGCCGAAGAUUUCCGGGGCUAAAACUUACUACCGAAGCUACGGCAUCAGGAAUGAUGGGUAGGGGAGCUUCCCAUACGGGUUGAAGCAUGACCGGAAGGACAUGUGGACAGUAUGGGAGGGAAAAGGAUGCGCAGGAGAGCGAGUAGGAGGGGAGA
rnacentral:rRNA from 1 species